ensembl:lncRNA
ACACACACACACACACACACGCAAGACGCAGUUAAAUAUUUCAUUAAAUUAUUGAAUAAAUGCGGCACGGCGGUGCAGCAGAUAGAGUCGCUGCCUCACGGCUGCAGGAGCACUGAUUAGAUCCUGAGCUCUGAGCUCGGGUUACUAUCUGUGUCGAGUUUUGCAUGUUCUCCCUGUGUUCACAUGGGUUUCCUCUGGGUUCUAUGAUAGGUGGUAUGAUGGGAUGAGGUGGGAUGAUAAAUUGCCCCUGUGUGUAAAUGUGUGUGUGUGUGUGUGCGCAUAGUGUGAAGCGAUGGACUUUUGGUCGUCAGGCACUGAUGUUGGGUGAGAAGGUCUGGGGUGCAGUCGGUCUUAAAAGUUUGGAUGAAACAGCUUUGGAAAGAUUUCCCCUCAUGUCAUUCUCAAGCCCUUCACUGUUAACUACAGAGUAAAUAAACAGAUUUUUCAUUCAUUUCUCAGGACAGUGCAUCAAAAUGUGCCAAAAUUCUCAUCUGUGGUAAUCACACAUACUACAGUUGCACUGGAAGGAGGUGUAUAAGAUUGUUAUUGUCAUUAUUUAUGAGAAUCGACAAUAAAAUCAUGUUGGAAUGGUCAGCGUAAACAUGGAGUACUAUCGCAUUCGGCUGCACGGUGAGUCAUCGACUCACAAACAGCUACACCUGGCUCGUCUUUCUUUUGGGUGCGAGCCAUCCAUUCUGUGUAGCAUUCUGUGGACUAAAACGUGGGGACAGAAGUGGGUGUGGGUGUGAAGAAUGUUUCAAUGUGAGUAUCUGUGAUACCUCUGUGUGUGUGUGUGUGUGUGUGUGUGUGUGUGUGUGUGUUACUGUAGCUGAUUAACCCUGCCUUCACUCAGCAGCCAAACCAAAAGGCCAACAAACUCCUACUACAAUACAAACACACGCACACACACACACACACACACAAAAAAAAAAAAAAACACAUGCACAAUUUUAUACAAUCCUGAAAUUGUAUCGGUGACAUGGCGGUUAUUUUGUAACAAUGUGUAGCCGAGAAUAAAUAUAUCGAUGCACAGAGUUACCAUUUCAUCACCAUGGAAUAAGUAUAAAUACUAUAACUAGUCACAACUUGUAUUUAAAAUGCACAAAAACUGAAAUGAACUGAAAUGGACCGUUGUGGACAUCAAACAUAGAGAUGAGUGAUUAUAUUACACUGGAAUGAUGCAUAAAAACAUCCGGGUGUCAGUAGAGCUGCGACAUGGCUACCGUUAGCCUACGUCACAAUACGCGAAUAGAUUUUUACACCUGUCCCCGGCAAAUAAUUAACCGGAGGCCAUAUAUUAUGUAUGACAUUCCACAACGUGUUAAUCUUUGGGCUUCAUGGUCACAACCUAAUAAUCUGAGAUACUUAGGUCGUGGCGUCGAAACAUUAUCGCGUCUUGUCACGUCUAAUUAAAAAACAUCCGCCGUGUCAGGGGAAAUCAUGGGGUUCACCCCGCUGUCAGUUUAUCCCGUAUGACCCAUUGAAUCUUAUUGGACGUCGUGAAUUUUCUACACUUCAACAGGAUUUUUUAAACGGGUUGCAUUUGGGUUGUCAGCACAGUAUCUGUAAACUUUAAAUAAAAGAAAAUCAACUGUUUAAAACGUCGUGUUCCCAUGAAUUAUUAACCGUCACGACUCUUAAGAUUUACAAGAAAUUCAACAAACAGACUUCAUGUUAAAACCAUCAUGAACUUCCCUUAGCUUUUACGCUAUCCGUCGUUACCCAGAUGAGGACGGGUUCCCUUCUGAGUCUGGUUCCUCUCAAGGUUUCUUCCUCUUAAAACAUCUUAGGGAGUUUUUCCUUGCCACCGUCACCACUCAGUGGCUUGCUCAGUUGGGAUAAAUUCGCACCUUUAAUAUCUGUAUACCAUGUUGAUAUUUCUGUAAAGCUGCUUUGAGACAAUGUCUAUUGUAAAAAGCGCUAUACAAAUAAAAUUGAAUUGAAUUGAAUUGAAUUGUAAAAUACUACUAUUGACCCAUAAAGCACUAAACGGUCUCACACCACAGUACCUGAGCGAACUUUUGGUCUUUUAUGGUCCGCCAUGCCUACGUUGACCAAAAGAUGCAGGCUAUUUGUUGGUACCAUGAAUAGCGAAGGCUACAGCAGGGGGAAGAGCUUUUUCUUACAAAGCCCUACAGUUAUGGAACAGUCUUCCAAUUAGUGUUCGGGACUCAAACUGGGAUGUUUGGAUGCUUUCAUUCCCUCACUUUCAUGCGUUCACCCAGGUUUGUUGAUGGUGGAGUGGAUGGCCGCCUUAUGUCCCAGGGCGCCCUCAUGUCUGUGUUGCCUUCUUGUGGAGAAAAAAAAACUGAAAUCCAAACAGCACACGUGGCGAUAUAUAAACAAAAACAUGGCAGGAAGUAAAUACAAAGCACAGAAGUAGCACUAUUUGCACUGAGCGACAUGACGUGCGCUGAGAGAGGGAAUUCACGACACUGCAACGAUCAGUUAUAACUACGACUAUAUAUGGUCGCGAAGGGAUUUGUGGCUACUUAAAAAUAAACCAAAAUAAAAAUGUCUAAAAUGCAAAUCAGGCUAUUCAAUUUCAUUUUAUUUGUAUAACACUUGUAACAGUACACACACACACACACACACACACAUGGUGACAGUGGUAAGACAAAAUUCCUUGAGACAACAUGAGGGAGAAACCAGACUCAAAACGGAACAAAAAGGAGACACAUUCGUCUUCUCUGGGUGACACCGGAUGGUGGGAUUAUAAAUCAUUACAGCAAACAGAUGUAGAAAUGAAGGCAGUACAAAGGAAGUUCUGUAUGAGCAGAUUGCGAAUCAGAGUCACAGGACAGUCUUUAUGAUUACAACAGCAAUUCUUAGGUCCCUCCAGGGUUCUGCGAUUUUGCGAUCGCAGAAAUGAACACAACAUCAAGGAAACUCUGCAAUAUUUGCAAGAGCUUUAAUUACCGUAAAAAUCACCGCAGAUUUUCUGCAGCGUCAUGUGACGUCAUUACUACGCUCAUUCAGCAAAAAAAAAAAAAAAAAAAAAAAAAGCCCCUUUCGGUUCACGCCUCAUUUAAAAAGGUCUUAUUUACCACUGGAGCAAGGGUGAGACUUGGGAAUAAACUAAUCUGGGAAUGCUUUAGAGAGUCCAUGUAGGACCAUCCAAAGUAACUAUUUACAUCUAGAACAUUUGGCAGAUGCACUUAUACAGAGCAACUGCUCAGUUGUCUACUUGAAAAACAAAUCCAUAUGCUUGUAAAGAUUGGCCAAAGUCUACAGACACUAACAAGAUAAGACACUGCCAAUAACAGGAAUCUGAGCAGAUAAAUAAGUAAAUAAGCAGAGCGUACAUUGAUAUAGUGAAGCUUUCUGUAAGAAGAUGCUUUUUUGACAUUUAUGGAAGGAGUCUCCAGUGUCAGCGCUUAGUAACAGUAACACAACAAGCUGUUAUGGGUUUUUUUUUCAUCUUAUUCAUUUUAAGAGACAGGAAAAAGAGAGGCUUGUGUGAGGAUGAUUAGAUGGUAUGGUGUUUACAGCGGGGGAAAUAACAUUUUUUUUUUUCAGUAAAUAUAUUUCCCAUGAGUCUAUUCACAGGAAAUUUUCCCCAGACAUCAGUAUUAAUUCAAGAAAUCUGGAAAUAUAAAGAAUUCGCAACAUUAAAGUCUAUAAAUAAAGUUAUGUGUAACAAAUUGGAAUGACACGGGGGAAAAAAGUUUUGAACACGCUAAGAAAAAGCAGCUCUCCGAGGCAAGGUAAGGCAAGGAACCAGCUGAAAUAUGUAAGUAAUUACACCCCCUAUCAGAGCAAAUUAAUAUCAGCUGAGUUAGUAAAUCGAUGGUCUAUAAAAAGAGCUUUUCGCUAUCAAGGUGUCACACAAGAAACAUCUCAUGACGGGUAAAAGCAAAGAGCUCUCCCAAGUGUAAAUAAAUAAAUAUAUAUAGACCAUUUACCAAUAUGAGGGACUAACUUGGUUUAUGGACUUUAUAACAUCAGCAACAUUAAACAGGCAGGAAAUGAAACACUCUGAUCCAGAAUGUUCUCUACCCUCCACAAAGGUUGUCCCGAUGUCUGAGAGUGCGUGUCGUGGGUUGGACUAGUGUGUGCCAGGCUGCUCUGUAUUCAAGGUGUGUAUGAGUCGUGACUCAUGUUAGUAUCCGUCAGGGUGUUGUGCGUGCUGAUUGGCUAGGUCACGGAGUCUCUCCGGCCAAUCAGAAGCCACUGAGAUGACCGCUGAGGGAUACAGGACACACAGAGACGGCUGUAUCCAAGCAACACCCUCCCAGCAUCAGAUAAAGACCUUAUAGGACAAACGGUGUUCAGGAAAACUCUCUCUCGUUAUAACAAAGACAAAACUCUUACAUGAAAUAGAAAUAUAGAAGAGCUUGUUGUAUUUCUCAGUCUCUUUUCUGUGGCUUUUCUCACGGUGAAGUCUCAACUCAACUCCAAACUGACCCGUUUCAAUUUAUUCAUCAGGUGCGCCUACAUAGCAGCUUCAAAAGAUGUAGUUUAAUAUUUACAUAUAAAUAAAUAAAUAAAUAAAUAAAUAAACAACAAACAAAAAUGACACAUAAUUGUAAAAUCAUUCUUUCUUUAUCUUUAUUAAUUUAUUUAGUCAGUUAGUUAGCUAAUUAUUCUUUUGUAAAUGAACAAUUAAUUAAAAAAUAAUAAUUCACCGUUAAUAAAUUAAAAAUGUUAUCUUUUUUUUUUUUUACUUAUUCUACCCACAGUGUUCCCAUUUUAUUCACAUGAUCCUUUUAAAAAAAAAUAAAAACAUCACAAAUGUGUAUUUUUGCAUAUUUUUCUAGAUGUAUUUCUAUAUCUCUGUGUCCUCAUUUCUAUUUUCUUUUCUUUUUUUGUAAAUAUAAUGUUUCUAAAAUAUUUGUUUGUCUUUUUGAAAUGAGUAAAGCAUUAAAAGAAAAUAGAAUAAAAAAUAAACAACUUGUUCCUCUACUACUACUUUCAAAUAUACACUCCUCUACAACUACUACUGAUUAUAAUAAUAAAAUUAAACGGCGGUAUUCAAAUUGCUCAAUAGCGAAGAUAUCAUCGGCGAGACUUAUGUAAAGACUUAAAUAAAUAAAAAAUAUCUCCUGGCCGUUUGGUAACACUUUGGGUUGUAAAAAAAUUAUUGCUUCCUAAAUUUGAGGUGUCAGAAUAUGUUAUACACAGUAUGUUAUAGUUAUGUUAUAUAUGUUAUCUCUCUCU